UUACCGUGCGGAGGAAAAGAAAAUAACAAUGAUUUCCCUAGUAACGGCGAGUGAAGAGGAAAGAGCUCAAAGUUGGAACCUGUUUGGCUUAGCCAAACCGGAUUGUAAACUGUAGAAGUGUUUUCCUGACACGCCUGGUAAAAAAGUCCUUUGGAACAGGGCAUCAUAGAGGGUGAGAAUCCCGUCUUUGGCCAGAGCUGUUGUCUUUUGCGAUACAUUUUCAAAGAGUCAGGUUGUUUGGGAAUGCAGCCUAAAUUGGGUGGUAAAUCUCACCUAAAGCUAAAUAUUUGCGAGAGACCGAUAGCGAACAAGUACCGUGAGGGAAAGAUGAAAAGAACUUUGAAAAGAGAGUUAAACAGUAUGUGAAAUUGUUAAAAGGGAACCGUUUGGAGCCAGACUGGCUUGAUCGUAAUCAAUCUAAGCUUCGGCUUGGAUGCACUUGCGGUCUUUGCCUGCCAACGACAAUUUUUUCUGGGGGAAAAAACUAAUGGAAACGUAGCCCAUCUCGGUGGGUGUUAUAGUCCGUUAGAAAAUACCCUGGAUUGGAUUGAGGAACGCAGUGAAUGCUCUUUAGGGCAAGAUUGCUGGGUGCUUUCGCUAAUACAUGCUAAAAUUUCUGCUUCGGGUGGUGUUAGUGUGUAAAGGAGGAACUCGCCUAGUAUAUUUU
rnacentral:rRNA from 1 species